GUGCGCUCAGCGGCCCCGCGGAUCUGUGUCUUGCUUCAACAGUGCUUAGACGGAACAGACCCAGGGACGCCCCUUGCUCCAGCCUCCGACCACCCUCCAACCUUUUUUCCAGUCGCAACCUCCGGAGUCAGCCACUCAGCUGUCCGCGAUCACCGAGACCAGCCACCAUUUUUUAACUCCUUAUUACCGACCAAUCAUGAGCUCCCAGAUUCGUCAGAAUUAUUCUACCGAGGUGGAGGCUGCUGUCAACCGCCUGGUUAACAUGCAACUGCGGGCCUCCUACACCUACCUCUCUCUGGGCUUCUAUUUCGACCGCGACAAUGUGGCUCUGGAGAGUGUGGGUCACUUUUUUCGCGAAUUGGCCAAGGAGAAGUGUGAGGGCACGGAGCGGCUCUUGAAACUGCAAAACCAGCAUGGCGGCCGCGCCCUCUUCCUGGACGUGCAGAAGCCAUCUCAAGAUGAGUGGGGUAAAACCCAGGACGCUAUGGAAGCCGUCCUUCUCGUAGAGAAGAACCUGAAUCAAGCCCUGUUGGAUCUGCAUGGCCUGGCUUCUGCCUGCGGAGACCCCCACGUCUGUUAUUUCCUGGAGAACCACUUCCUAGAUGAGGAAGUGAAACUCAUCAAGAAGAUGGGUGACCACCUGACCAACCUCCGCAGGCUGGCUGGUCCCCACGCUGGGUUGGUCGAGUAUCUCUUCGAGAGGCUCACCCUCAAGCACGACUAGGAGCUUCUGGAGACCAGUGGCCUUUGAGGAACCCACCUGACAUCAGGGCUGCCUGAAGCCCCUCUCUGCAGCUACUAGGCAGCUUUUUAACAUCUUGGAGGCCUCUCUCAAGCCUUGGACCAAAUGGAAACAAUAAAGCUUUUUGCAGCAAUAAAA